CUAAUGAAAACCUUUUAUUGAUUGAACAUUGUGUAAAGUUUGAAACAUUACAAAGUUUUGAGAAGAAUAAUGACCUUUAGUCAAAAUCAAAAAUGUGUUGCGAUGAUCUUGAUGAUGAUAAUGUUAGUUAUUGUACAAGGUGAAUGCAAUGCUCAAUCUCAAGAUUUUAAGUUAAACAAGGGUGAUGAAUCUUGGUGUAUAUUGAAGUGUAGCUUAGUGUGUCACUUUGCUGAGGAUGUUAACGCCUGCGAGGCAGAUUGCAGAAAAACCAAAUGCUGACAUAACAUUGAGAAGGUUCUUUGUAUAAUCAAGGUGCUUGUGCAUUGAAGAGUUGCAUCAAUAAUAAAUAAAUAUUUCGUAUUCUUUACGAGAUAUGAUAUGUAAUAAAGUGGAAUUGUAAAAUUGACAUUAUGUUGAAUUUAAAUAAAUAUAUUAUUAUCCAUAAAA